CAGGAGAAAAAGGCUACGACAAAGGCUUCUGUCGGCAGUGAUGAAAAGAAGGGCCUUCGAGCUCCCUGUGGAUUUUCCGAAAGCUGCACGAGAAGACGUUCGAGUAGGCGGCGCAAAAGUUUUUGGGGCAAGAAGAGCCAAGACAACCAACAAACAGCCCACAGCUCGUUUGCACAGGACGAUUUCGAUCAAGUUGUGUCAUACAUCACAAAACUGGCAAAAGAAAUCAAAAAUGAAAAGAAAAACAAGGAAUAAUUCAAACAGCUCUAAAAGGAAGGGCUUUUUUAAUUUUUUCGACUUCUGCUGAAUGUAAAAUUCUUUUUUGUGAGGUUUUAUAAUUACAAUACCAAAUAAGCAUGUUCUUUUUUAAAAAUUAAAAACAUUUUUGACUAUGCACCACAAGACCGGCGGGACGCCGUGCAACAUUGAGCCGUAUCACUAACCAAGAAGGGAUAGGAUCAAUCAGGUUUGGCAUAUAUAUCAGCCAGUACUGAUGGAGUAGUUGUGUCAUUAUGAGUGCAAUUAUAUAACGAUUAAAAAUUAAAGAUUAUCUUAAAAAUGCA